rnacentral:rRNA from 1 species
UACGAAGGGGGCGAGCGUUGUUCGGAUUUACUGGGCGUAAAGGGCUCGUAGGUGGCCAACUAAGUCAGACGUGAAAUCCCUCGGCUUAACCGGGGAACUGCGUCUGAUACUGGAUGGCUUGAGUUUGGGAGAGGGAUGCGGAAUUCCCAGUGUAGCGGUGAAAUGCGUAGAUAUUGGGAGGAACACCAGUGGCGAAGGCGGCUCGCUGGACCGGAACUGACGCUGAGGCGCGAAAGCGUGGGGGAGCAAACAGG